rnacentral:snRNA from 1 species
UGCUUUGCGCAGUGGCAGUAUCGUAGCCAAUGAGGUUUAUCCGAGGCGCGAUUAUUGCUAAUUGAAAAGUAGUUUUGCUGAAAUCUCUCCAACACCCGGGUCAUGGACACUGUAACACUCUUUAACACAG